ACAAAUAAUGGUGAACAAUUAUUUUAGGCCACUUAUUGUGAAAAAGUGAUUUCUUCAGAAUAUGCUUGAGCUUUUAUUGUUUUUCUACUUGUAGACCAAAGAUGCUGUUGCCAUGACGCCUGCUGUCCUGCCAUGUCUCUCAGUUGUCCUCCAGGACGAUGACAGACUUCUACAAUGAUCCAGAUGCCAUGGCGACUUCAUCCUGGUUCCUGUGGGGUUACUGACUGUUAUGUUAAGUUUAUCAUUUUGUUCAAAUUAAAUGUUGAAUCUUGUGAACUUAAA